GUGGGGAAUAUUCCGCAAUGGACGAAAGUCUGACGGAGCAACGCCGCGUGAGUGAUGAAGGUUUUCGGACUGUAAAGCUCUGUUGUUUAGGACGAAAGUGCCUGUUGCAAAUAGUUACAGGUAUUGACGGUACUGAACGAGGAAGCCACGGCUAACUACGUGCCAGCAGCCGCGGUAAUACGUAGGUGGCAAGCGUUGUCCGGAAUUAUUGGGCGUAAAGAGCAUGUAGGCGGGAAUCUAAGUCUGUUGUGAAAAUGCGGGGCUCAACCCCGUAUUGCGAUGGAAACUGGGUUUCUUGAGUGCAGGAGAGGAAAGGGGAAUUCCCAGUGUAGCGGUGAAAUGCGUAGAUAUUGGGAGGAACACCAGUAGCGAAGGCGCCUUUCUGGACUGUGUCUGACGCUGAGAUGCGAAAGCCAGGGUAGCGAACGGGAUUAGAAACCCGUGUAGUCC
rnacentral:rRNA from 1 species